rnacentral:rRNA from 1 species
CUACGGAGGGUGCAAGCGAUAUUCGGAAUCACUGGGCGUAAAGGACGCGUAGGCGGGUUGGCAAGUCAGAUGUGAAAUCCUACAGCUUAACUGUAGAACUGCAUUUGAAACUGCUAACCUAGAGUAUGGGAGGGGGAGAUGGAAUUAGUGGUGUAGGGGUAAAAUCCGUAGAUAUCACUAGGAAUACCGAAAGCGAAGGCGAUCUCCUGGAACAUAACUGACGCUAAGGCGUGAAAGCGUGGGGAGCAAACAGGAUUAGAAACCCUAGUAGUCC